GACGAACGCUGGCGGCGUGCUUAACACAUGCAAGUCGAACGGAAAGGCCUCUUUCGGGGGGUACUCGAGUGGCGAACGGGUGAGUAACACGUGAGUAACCUGCCCUUGACUUUGGGAUAACUUCAGGAAACUGGGGCUAAUACCGGAUAGGAGCUCCUGCUGCAUGGUGGGGGUUGGAAAGUUUCGGCGGUUGGGGAUGGACUCGCGGCUUAUCAGCUUGUUGGUGGGGUAGUGGCUUACCAAGGCUUUGACGGGUAGCCGGCCUGAGAGGGUGACCGGCCACAUUGGGAAUGAGAGACGGCCCAGACUCCUACGGGAGGCAGCAGGGGGGAAUAUUGCACAAUGGGUGGAAGCCUGAUGCAGCAACGCCGUGUGCGGGAUGACGGCCUUCGGGUUGUAAACCGCUUUCGCUCAUGACGAAGCUUUGUGUGACGGUAGUGGGUAAAGAAGCACCGGCUAACUACGUG
rnacentral:rRNA from 1 species